rnacentral:tRNA from 1 species
UGGGCGUUGGUGUAAUGGCAACACUACAGAUUCUGGUCCUGUCAUUGAAGGUUCGAGUCCUUCACGCCCAA